AGUGAACGCUGGCGGUAGGCCUAACACAGCCAAUUGGACCGCAGGAAAGUAAGAGCUUGCUCUUUCGGGUUGGCGGUGGCCGGCGGGUGAGGAAUUAAUUGGAAUCCACUUUUUCCUGGGGGAAAACCUAGGGAAACUUACGCCUAUACCCCAAUAUACCUAACGGCGAAAGCCAGGGGUCUUAGGAACUUUCGCGGUUGAAUGAACCGAUGUCGGAUUAGCUAGUUGGCGGGGUAAAGGCCCACCAAGGCGACGAUCCGUAGCUGGUCUGAGAGGAUGAUCAGCCACACUGGAACUGAGACACGGUCCAGACUCCUACGGGAGGCAGCAGUGGGGAAUAUUGGACAAUGGGCGCAAGCCUGAUCCAGCCAUACCGCGUGGGUGAAGAAGGCCUUCGGGUUGUAAAGCCCUUUUGUUGGGAAAGAAAAGCAGCAGGUUAAUACCCCGCUGUUCUGACGGUACCCAAAGAAUAAGCACCGGCUAACUUCGUG
rnacentral:rRNA from 1 species